rnacentral:misc_RNA from 1 species
UCGAGGAAUUACAAAGACAAUUGGAGUCCUAUUCAACUUAUGUAGAGCACCGCGAUGCUAUUACACACUCACCAUCCACUCAUUCAGACUACACUGUCAUUAACAAUUUAAUUCUGCACAAAAGGAGAAUUUGGUUGCCCCGGGGCUUCUCAAUGAUACCCACUCUCCUCACUGAGUACCAUUCUACCCCAACAGGUGGCCAUAUGGGGAUCGCAAAGACCUUAGCUCGUUUGUCAGAAAAUUUCAGCUGG